rnacentral:misc_RNA from 1 species
AUUAUAUUUUUUAAUUUGAAAACAAUUUUAUUUGUCAAUGGCUUUUUUAAUAUUCUUAUAUUUCGGUGUAAUAAUGAAUGUGGGAGAAGGAAAUAUUUUAGGGAAGUUUCAUAAUUUUGGGUGUUUGGAAGGUAAUAUUGAACUAGAAAAUGGAAACUUGGUUUUUAUUGAAGGUUCAACAUAUGAUACUGGUCAUACAUAUUUAUUAAAAGCAGCAGGUGAAGAUUUUGAAACAUUCUCCGACAUUAAUGUGGAUUUAAAUAUUCAAUCCAAAACUGUUACGGAAUAUUCUAGACAUAAUCUUCAAAAAUCGUCAUCCAUGCUAAUUAAUGAGUUGGCACAGUUCAAUAAUAUCAAUUUGGUUCAUUCACUGGUAGCGGAACAUGGACCAGCUCAUCAGAAAAUAUUUACAGUACAAUUGAGGUUAGGAAAUGAAGAAUAUGAGGGGAUUGGUAAUAGUUUAAAGGAAGCAAAAAGAAUAGCUUCUGCAAAAGCAUUAAAAAACACCAAAUAUGAACAUCCACCUACAAAAAAUAUCGAGAUUCAGUUACGUGAAUUAGCAAGUAAGAGAAAUGAAGAAGUGGUAUUUACAAAUGAAUACGGACAUCAAAUUACUUCAUCGAAGGACCUACAAAAUCCAACACUGUUUCCGGCUCAUAACAUCCACAAAUUACGAAGUAUUAGAAUUAGUGAAAACCAUGAAAAUAAUACAGUUCAUGAAAAUAUUACUGAAAUCAAAAACACGACUGGCGAUUAUUUAAAUAAUUUACAAACACCUGACGAUCCUUAUAUGGUACAUCUGAAAGUUGGAAACAGGGAGUAUAUAGGAAUAGGAUAUACAACUCCCGCAGCACGUCAUGAUGCAGCCAUUAAAGCAAUAGAGGAAAUCAAAAGGAUUAAUAUCGACGGAAAUUUUCCAAAAGGAGUCCUUUGAUAAUACAAGAGAUGGUUGCUUCGUUAUCCAAUCGACAUUGCUGUGCUAGAGCGAUUUUUGAAUGGUAAUAGUGGGUCAUGGUUUCAUCAGGGCGUUUAUGUCGAGCGACCAAUUCUUCCAAAACCGUAGUAUAAUCUGUAUAUCGUGGAAAUGCUUGAUACUAUGUGGCCGUGGGUGCACUAUCCCACUCCUGAAUUAUUAAGAGAGUUGAAUAAUAAUAAUAAAGAUUUAUUAAGACAAAGGAACUUUACAGCCGAUGUUACAGGUUCAAUUGUUCAAACAAGAGUGGUAUGAUAUUUCCUUUUUACCAAAGCUGUUUUUUAAAAGUGAGCGGUUGUAAUGAAAUUUGUUUAUUAAACUGCCGCCGGACUGGCUCAUAAACUAAACAGGUAUCCUUCUAGACUUUAUCAGGUUCCCGAGAAUUGUUGUUUAUUUGAAUCGGAAGCUGUUUGAUUCGUAACAAUAGACUCGUCAGUCCUCAGACAGGUGCGUAGUUAUUUUUGGUUCUAGUGGCACCUUUUCACCUUGUCUGACACCAACGAAUUUUUAUUUAUGGGGGAAUUGGAUACACGUAGUCUAUUAUCACGGUGAAUAAAAUACGAAUUUAUGUUACCAAUGCUUUUCGUACAAUUAUAAGUGCCCCCGGUUUAUGGAACUAAGCUGACGGUAUACAAUUUCAAUACUUUAUGAAGGAUACAAAUUUCUUUUUCAUUUUUUUACAACGAUAAAGCGCACUCGGAUCUGGUAGCCAAAUACAUUGUUGAAUAGUUAUUUUGUUUUAUUUUACUUUUUUUUAGUUCUCCUGUGGCGCAUCAGAUUCAUUGCCUACAUUAAUUGCACCAUUUUGAUAGUACCUCAGAGCAUUUACUGUAACAAUAGCCUUAAAUCGUUUAUAUUAAGUUGCAAUGAAGCAAUUGUAUACAUAUUGUUACCCAGUACCAUCAUAUUAGUUAAAUACCUUUCUAUUAGCACCCUUCUCCUCUAGCACAGCAGCUUCUUAACGCUAAAACAUCAUAUAAUUGACUUGUCACAUUUUUCAAUCUUUCACCCGUCUUACUCCUAUUUGCUUGCAAGCGCUCUCGCUCUCUUAUAGCAGUGUCAUUUCCCUCUGACAAAUCUCCUGCACGCCCCCUAUGAUAUGAUAACAAUAAAUAUGCUAGGAGGAAAACCCAUUGCUGGCAGAUAUCGUUUAGCUGAAACCCUACAGAUUUUCAGGUAAUUGCUCACCCUAAUUUGUCGCUUCGUAAUUGCGUCAAGUAUUUUGCGGUUUUGUCUUCACCUAGUCAUUCGACCGAGGAAUAGUAAUAGCAUUCUAUACAUGCUUAACGCCCUUCUCAUUCAUAAAAUUAUUACAAAAUUAUUCGGUUAUUACAUGCCUUGGAUACUCAAACUUGGCAUAUGUCUACUUUUAUGUUUAUAUAGUUUUCACUGAGCUCAGAGUUUUUCUAGAUAUGACCCACGUACCACGUACAUUUGGUAAACGCCCUCUAGAAGAUUUACGUGUAUGGUUUCUAAUUAUACCGCCCUCUUCUCAUGAGAAUUGUGAAAUCUUUUGCUUCGUUGAUGAAUGCCUUUUGCAUAUGCACAAUUUAAACAGGCCGCCGUAUAUUUGUACACAAAACGCCUCAUUUUGGUAAACAAAUAUUAUUUUCGAAAGUUCUAGAUACUUUUUGAAUCCAAAAUGCCUAAUAUCCUCAUGAUAUUUGCGUAGUAAGCAGAACUUGGCAAUUGUAGGAACCAACAAUCUGUCACCUUUACUUGUUACACCCCACAAACGCCCGCCUUUCACCUUAAAUGCUGUUUGCAUUACUUAUCAGUUGUAACUCCUUCCAACGCUUUAAUGAUAGACUGCACCUUCUCCUCCUGCAAUUGAAUUGUUCCAAAUCAAUCCGCCUCAGAAAUAGCCACCAAACUGACUGAGGGCAUUCACAUGCUGCAUUUUAUCAACUGGUCUGUAUUAAUUUCAUAUUUUUGGAU